GACGUAGGGGGCAAGCGUUGUCCGGAAUCAUUGGGCGUAAAGAGCGUGUAGGCGGCCAGAUAAGUCCGCUGUGAAAUCUCGAGGCUCAACUUCGAGCUGUCGGUGGAAACUGUCUGGCUAGAGUCCGGAAGAGGAGAAUGGAAUUCCUGGUGUAGCGGUGAAAUGCGCAGAUAUCAGGAAGAACACCCGUGGCGAAGGCGGUUCUCUGGGACGGUACUGACGCUGAGACGCGAAAGCGUGGGGAGCGAACAGG
rnacentral:rRNA from 1 species